rnacentral:rRNA from 1 species
UACAGAGGUCCCAAGCGUUGUUCGGAUUCACUGGGCGUAAAGGGUGCGUAGGUGGCCGGGUAAGUCUGACGUGAAAUCUCCGAGCCUAACUCGGAAACUGCAUCGGAUACUAUCCGGCUUGAGGGUUGGAGGGGGACUGGAAUACUUGGUGUAGCAGUGAAAUGGCGUAGAUAUCAAGUGGAACACCAGUGGCGAAGGCGGGUCUCUGGACAGUUCCGUGACACUGAGGCACGAAGCCAGGGGAGCAAACGGGAUUGAGAU